UUUUUCGGAGAGUUUGAUCCUGGCUCAGGACGAACGCUGGCGGCGUGCCUAAUACAUGCAAGUCGAGCGGACAGAAGGGAGCUUGCUCCCGGAUGUUAGCGGCGGACGGGUGAGUAACACGUGGGUAACCUGCCUGUAAGACUGGGAUAACUCCGGGAAACCGGAGCUAAUACCGGAUAGUUCCUUGAACCGCAUGGUUCAAGGAUGAAAGACGGUUUCGGCUGUCACUUACAGAUGGACCCGCGGCGCAUUAGCUAGUUGGUGGGGUAAUGGCUCACCAAGGCGACGAUGCGUAGC
rnacentral:rRNA from 1 species